CUCUGAGGCUGAGCAACGCCAUCAGCCCCCAGGUCCCCUGGCUGGCGACUCUGUUAUGUGUGCUGUUUGUUCCUCAUGAUCUCAAGAUGGCUGCUGCUAAUCCAGCUGUGAUAUCUGUGCUUCAAGAAGAAAAGAGGGAUGACAUAAAAUCUGUAAAGCGGAGAGAAUCAUCACUGACUUUGAGGUUGUCGUGAGGCUGAGAUGAGCAGACCUAUGCAAAGUCCUCCCAGCAGUACUGGCAUAUGGCAAGCACUCAGUGAGGAUGACGCAUAGGCUGGGAUGCCUUGUUUCUGAUUCUGAAGAAGAGGAGAUAAGCGCUGUUAACAGGACUUGCUCAGCCUUUUCAAAGUGACCUCAAUGGACAAUGACCUCAGCACUGGGAAAGCUGGUCCUAGGAAAUGAAGGCAAAGUUGAAUAGAGAAAUGCCAGGAUGGGUGCUGUUGUUAUGGCAUUUCUUUGAGAGUUGAGCCAUUGCAAUUCCUUUGGUUAGAAGAAGUGAAGAUAUAAGUGACCUUUGUAAAAUGGUUUUGCAUUUUUCACAAUACACUUUAUUGAAGAAGUGUGACAAAGUAUUAAAAAAACCAUUGUCUCAUUACUGC
rnacentral:lncRNA from 1 species